rnacentral:pre_miRNA from 1 species
GUAGUACUCCCUCUGUCCGAGAAAACUUGUCCCAAGCUUAUUUCUUAAAUGGAUGUAUCUAGCACUAAAUUGGUGCUACAUACAUCCAUUUGAGGGACAAGUUUUUCCGGACGGAGGGAGUACUAU